CUGUCCCUUAUGCGACUUACAUGGCUGGAGAAGCAGAAGAAUAAGUGAACUGAGAGAAGAACUGGCCACAUAAAAUCCUGAACAAGCAAUUUUAUUGAAGAAACUAGACAAGACAGGAACUACUUUCUUUUCCAAAGAAAUUACUGGCAAAACUCCCACUGGCUUCUGGGGUGAAAUCAUACUCAUCCUUUUUGUCCUUAUUCCAAUGAAUAUUCCUGAUGCAGAGAAUUAAUGUAAGUAUUUGCAAUUCUGCUUCUGGCUGGAGCUGAAAAGGUGAUGCUGCAGUUAGUCUGGAGAGUUGUCUCUUAAGAUUUGUUUUUACUUAGA
rnacentral:lncRNA from 1 species